UGGUAGGGAGGGCUGGGGAGGCCGCCGUUCCCCUCUCCUGAAACCGGCGAGAUGCAGGGGCCAGUAACUUCGCGGUAAGUGUCGGCCCUUGGCUGAUAGAGGUGGGUGGCAGAUAUGUGGCCAACGACCCCGUCGGGCGGGCGUAGACGCGGCAAUAUCCGUAGGGAUAUUCUCCGCGCCAUAAUCGUCGAACGCGCUAGGCUCGGGAGAGAGCAGCGAUAAGGCGAACUACCCGCGUUGAUGGCUAAGUUGGCCGAACGAGAACUCGCCUCUUAAGUCAAGGACCAAUGCUACCGGGAGGAGCUACCA
rnacentral:SRP_RNA from 1 species